GACAGAGGGUGCAAACGUUGCUCGGAUUUACUGGGCGUAAAGCGCAUGUAGGCGGGACUUUAAGUCGGGUGUGAAAUCCCUGGGCUCAACCUAGGAACUGCAUCCGAAACUGAGGUUCUGGAGUAGUGGAGAGGAAAGCGGAAUUCCGGGUGUAGAGGUGAAAUUCGUAGAUAUUCGCAAGAACACCAGUGGCGAAGGCGGCUUACUGGUCCGGUUCUGACGCUGAGGCGCGAAAGCGUGGGGAGCAAACAGG
rnacentral:rRNA from 1 species